rnacentral:rRNA from 1 species
UACGGAGGGUGCGAGCGUUGUCCGGAAUCACUGGGCGUAAAGGGCGCGUAGGCGGCCAGGUAAGGGGGCGGUGAAAGCCCGGGGCUCAACCCCGGGUCUGCCGGACCGACUGCCAGGCUUGAGCACACUAGGGGCAGGUGGAAUUCCGGGUGUAGCGGUGGAAUGCGUAGAGAUCCGGAAGAACACCGGUGGCGAAGGCGGCCUGCCGGGGUGUGGCUGACGCUGAGGCGCGACAGCGUGGGGAGCAAACAGG